UGAGGAUAACAGAAGCAGCAAAAGGGAGAAAAUCAUUAACAUGUCAGCAAUAAAUACGAGAGGAGUUUAUUUACAACAUAACAGAAAAUACAGAACUGAAGCUACGACUUAGGCCCGGAAACACGAAGGUAGGGAGUUUUGAGCUAGAAGAUCGAACCAUGGCUACUAGAAACCUUCACAGCAUCACAAAGAGCUCCAAUCAGUGUUUCUUCAUCCCAUUGAGAGUAAACCCAAACCAUCUAUCAGAUGAAGAAUUGAUUAGGGAAAAACAAAAUGGAAACAACUUUAAAAUGAGGGGAAAAGAGAUACCAGAUGUCAGUUUCUACCAUGGCAAGACAAGAUCGAGCUUAAAGAGAAGAAGGAGCCAAAAAGAUGGGAUUCAAGCAACACAACGUCACUUGAGGAAAAGGAGGUGGAGAGCUCACUAGACUAAUACUUUC
rnacentral:lncRNA from 1 species